rnacentral:lncRNA from 1 species
AUCUGGUUUGGAACUCCAGAGGAAGAGUUCAUGUGAAUGGGUGUUAAGUUAUCCCUGAUGUCAACUCUCUGAGUGUUCUGACAAUCUGCUCUUGCUCCCUCUUAUGCUCAAGGCCUGUAAGUUUGUAGAAGGCCUCCCUAUUUAGAAGAUGGACCUCACUACCUAAAUGCUUUAGGAUUUCUUUCCUGUGCUGACUAGACAAUUGUGUUGAUGUCAACAAACAUCCCAAAGCUGAGGAAUCUAAGCAUCGUCAUUGAGCCUAGAACCAAACAGUUGUAAUGUUUAUAAUAUUAUACUGUACUAUUGAGUAUAAUAAUUAUAGUCAGAUUACUUGUGAACAGCGAGCUAUUUUAAAGAUUGUGUGCUUUACGGUAUGGAUUUGUGAAGGUUUAUUAUGUUGUUGGUGCUGCAAUCUAAAUAAAAAUGUAAUC